rnacentral:tRNA from 1 species
GCGUUUGUUUUAGGAUAAUUGCCUUCCAAGCAAUAAACCUUGGUUCGACUCCCGGCAAACGCA